UCAGUAGUUGAAGAGGAUCUAAAACUUUUACAACUUAAGCUAAGAGACUCGAUGUCCACAAAAUGUAAUCUAGAAGGUGGGUUCUUCUUGAGAAGAAAUUGCUAUGUUGGAAAGACUUAAAAUUUUAUUGGAAAGAUAAAGAAUGGCUUCUUGCUUUCGUGCUUCUUACUUUUCUUGGCACUACUCCCUCAAACAAGUUCUUAAGUCCUUGUACACAUAUAGAGAUAAGCUGUUUUAUCCUUU
rnacentral:lncRNA from 1 species